rnacentral:lncRNA from 1 species
UUUUUCAAUCAGGUUGUUUCAGGUAAUCUUUUGCCGAAUAGUCUGCCCUAGCUGACGCUGUGCAGAGAAUACUACGAUUGGAAACGGUUGGUUAGACCCGUUCGCACUGCACAAGUGUUGUGUUGACAGUUGAAUCCAGUGAGGGUGAACACCCCUGAUUCUGUGAUGUGGCCAACCGGUAAGGUGCACAGAAGACCAAGGCCUGUAAGUCAAAUCCGACCUGAAAACAAUUACACAUAAACCUUACUUAUGCUCCAUGUACAAACUGCAGUUAUCACAAUAAAAGCAACUGCAGAUAUCCCUCCC